rnacentral:rRNA from 1 species
UUGGAGCUUGCUCCAAAUUCUUAGCGGCGGACGGGUGAGUAACACGUGGGCAACCUGCCCUGCAGAUCGGGAUAACUCCGGGAAACCGGUGCUAAUACCGAAUAGUUUGAGGCCUCUCCUGAGGCUUCACGGAAAGACGGUUUCGGCUGUCACUGCAGGAUGGGCCCGCGGCGCAUUAGCUAGUUGGUGGGGUAACGGCCCACCAAGGCGACGAUGCGUAGCCGACCUGAGAGGGUGACCGGCCACACUGGGACUGAGACACGGCCCAGACUCCUACGGGAGGCAGCAGUAGGGAAUCUUCCGCAAUGGACGCAAGUCUGACGGAGCAAUGCCGCGUGAGUGACGAAGGUUUUCGGAUCGUAAAACUCUGUUGUGAGGGAAGAACACGUACCAAUUAACUACUGGUACCUUGACGGUACCUCACCAGAAAGCCACGGCUAACUACGUGCCAGCAGCCGCGGUAAUACGGA